rfam:Herbaspirillum seropedicae SmR1, complete genome.
GAUGCAGGCCAGACAGCCGCUGGCCGCCUUCGCAAGGAGGCGGCGGGAGGAAGGUCCGGACUCCACAGAGCAGGGUGACGGUUAACGGCCGUCCGCUGAAAGCCGGCGCAAGCCGGUAUAAGGCGAGGAACAGGGCCACAGAGACGAGCGUAUUAAGUUACGGUGAAACGCGGUAACCUCCACCUGGAGCAAUUUCAAAUAGGCACGCGUUGAUGUGGCUCGCGGAGCGUGCGGGUAGAAAGCUUGAGCGGCGGAGCAAUCCGUCGCCUAGAGGAAUGGCUGUCAUAGCGGGUUUCCCGCCGUAACAGAAUCCGGCCUACCGGCCUGCUUCAUUG